CCUACGGGGUGCAGCAGUGGGGAAUAUUGGACAAUGGGCGAAAGCCUGAUCCAGCCAUGCCGCGUGUGUGAAGAAGGCCUUCGGGUUGUAAAGCACUUUCAGUGGGGAAGAAAGCCUUGGGGCUAAUACCCUCGAGGAAGGACAUCACCCACAGAAGAAGCACCGGCUAACUCCGUGCCAGCAGCCGCGGUAAUACGGAGGGUGCGAGCGUUAAUCGGAAUUACUGGGCGUAAAGCGCGCGUAGGCGGUCUGAUAAGCCGGUUGUGAAAGCCCCGGGCUCAACCUGGGAACGGCAUCCGGAACUGUCAGGCUAGAGUGCAGGAGAGGAAGGUAGAACUCCCGGUGUAGCGGUGAAAUGCGUAGAGAUCGGGAGGAAUACCAGUGGCGAAGGCGGCCUUCUGGACUGACACUGACGCUGAGGUGCGAAAGCGUGGGUAGCAAACAGGAUUAGAUACCCGGGUAGUC
rnacentral:rRNA from 1 species